CUGCAGCAGGUGCUGCUGCACCAGCAGUAGGUGCUGCUGCAGCAGAUGCUGCUGCACCAGCAGCAGGUGCUGCUGCAGCAGGUGCUGCUGCAUCAGCAGCAGGUGCUGCUGCAGCAGCAGCAGGA
rnacentral:snoRNA from 1 species